CCAGGCAGAGGUUUGAGUUUUUGUUGAGGGCUCUGGGAGUCACAGAAGAUAGCUCUAUUUGUGGGUCAUUCACUUUUUGCCCAGCCCUGUGUUGCUUUACAUGCACUUGCUCAUUAAAUCCUCCCAAGAUCAGGGGGAUCAGACUGAGGUGGGUGGAGUCGACUUGAACUUUGCUUAGGGUUCUAAGAGGUAAAGACUAGGGGAUCUGGGGACAGGGAAAUCCCAGAUAGAGUUAACCUUUUUUUUUUUUUUUUUUUUUUUUUGAUACAGUCUCGCUCUGUCGCCCAGGCUGGAGCGCAGUGGUGCAAUCUCAGCUCACUGCCUUCUGUCUCCUGGGUUCAAGUGAUUCUCCUGCCUCAGCCUCCCAAGUAGCUGGGAUUACAGGCGUGCACCACCACAUUGGGAUAAUUUUUGUAUUUUUAGUAGAGACAGGGUUUCACCAUGAUGGCCAGGCUGGUCUUGAACUCCUGAGCUCAGGUGAUCUGCCUGCCUCGGCCUCCCAAAGUGCUGGGAUUACAGGUGUGAGCCACCUCAUCAGGCUGAGUUUAUUGAGUUAUCCCCGUGUGCCAGUCAGAGCUCUAGUUCUUCCUACCUGUAUAAACUCGCUUACUGCUCACAUCAACCAUCUAAUGGAAGUGCUGUUUUCAUGUUGUUUCCUGCCCUUUGUCUCUACCUGCCAGAUCACUCCCAUGAAGGAAGGGACUUUGUUUAUUUAUUCAUUGCUGUAUCCCUGGAAACUGGGACUGCAGGUGGUUAUGAAGUACCUAUUUGUUAAAUGAGUGAACAUUUCCUGUAGGCAAUUACACCCAACUUCCAAAUGGAGAAACAGGCUCAGAGAUAAGCCCCUGCACCCUCACUCCUCAACUCAACUGCCUGUUUCUAGCACUUUCCAUGACGAUCCCCUCUGCACGGAGAGGGUUCAUGGGGAGUGACUAUUGUUCUGUAAUGAAUGACCAGGCUGUGCCAGGUCCGGCAGUAGGCCUUUUCCUUUUCCUUUUUUUUUUUUUUUUGAGAUGGAGUUGAGUUUUGCUCUUGUCGCCCAAACAGGAGUGCAAUGGCGUGAUCUUGGCUCACUGCAACCUGUACCUCCUGGGUUCAAGUGAUUCUCCUGCCUCAGCCUCCCGAAGAGCUGGGACUACAGGCAUGCG
rnacentral:lncRNA from 1 species